AAAAAGGCUUGGAACGGAAAAAGUAGAAAAUCAGAAUUGUUUCACAGAGAAUGGCAGACAAAUGGGGCUGGAAGCUGCCUGAAACGAGGGUUUUUGAAGUGCGUCCGGAAGCUGGCCGGGUGAAGCGGAAAAAGUGGGUAGUCCGGCACGGGUCCUGCACGUUAUGCAGAAGAAAAGAAGAGGGCAGGUGUGCCCUUAAAGUAAAGUGGAACCACGGAGCUAUUUCGUCUUUAUC
rnacentral:ncRNA from 1 species